rnacentral:rRNA from 1 species
CCUACGGGUGGCUGCAGUGGGGAAUAUUGGACAAUGGGCGAAAGCCUGAUCCAGCCAUGCCGCGUGUGUGAAGAAGGCCUUCGGGUUGUAAAGCACUUUCAGUGGGGAAGAAAGCCUUGGGGCUAAUACCCUCGAGGAAGGACAUCACCCACAGAAGAAGCACCGGCUAACUCCGUGCCAGCAGCCGCGGUAAUACGGAGGGUGCGAGCGUUAAUCGGAAUUACUGGGCGUAAAGCGCGCGUAGGCGGUCUGAUAAGCCGGUUGUGAAAGCCCCGGGCUCAACCUGGGAACGGCAUCCGGAACUGUCAGGCUAGAGUGCAGGAGAGGAAGGUAGAACUCCCGGUGUAGCGGUGAAAUGCGUAGAGAUAGGGAGGAAUACCAGUGGCGAAGGCGGCCUACUGGACUGACACUGACGCUGAGGUGCGAAAGCGUGGGUAGCAAACAGGAUUAGAUACCCUAGUAGUC